GACAGAGGAUGCAAGCGUUAUCCGGAAUGAUUGGGCGUAAAGCGUCUGUAGGUGGCUUUUUAAGUCUGCCGUCAAAUCCCAGGGCUUAACCCUGGACAGGCGGUGGAAACUACCAAGCUGGAGUACGGUAGGGGCAGGGGGAAUUUCCGGUGGAGCGGUGAAAUGCGUAGAUAUCGGGAGGAACACCGGUGGCGAAGGCGGUUCCCUGGGCCUGUACUGACGCUGAGGAGCGAAAGCGUGGGGAGCGAACAGG
rnacentral:rRNA from 1 species